GUGGUGGAGGAGGUUUAGGAAAACUUCCGCAGCCGCCGCUGCCGGUGAAGUCGAGGAAGCGGGAGUGCGGCGCGGUGCCGGCGGCGCCAGGCGGAGCCAACGAGUCGGAGGGGAGGUUGGUGGCGCGUGGGGGUGGAGGAGGGGCGGGGGGGAUCCCCCCGCCCCCACCCCCGCCCCCACGUGGUGUUGAGGAGUGGCUGGCCCUGCUGGGCCUCGAGGUGUACGCAGAGAGGCUCGUCGGGCAUGGCUGGGAUCACGUGGACUUCUUGGGGGAGAUCUCAGACGCGGAGCUCCUAGAGGCCGGUGUGGUGAACGCGUUUCACCGCCAAAAAAUCCUCACCCAGCUCCGUGACAAACCCCUCCACUAGAGGGACCGGGCUCACGACGACCAUGUCAGAGACUGAGAGGCUGGGUUCGAGCCCUGGGUCUGGGUUUCUCUCUCUCAGUGGGUUCACGAUGGCCGUGUCGGAGACACUGAGAGGCUGGGUUCGAGCCCUGGGUCUGGGUGUCUCU